CACACUUCCAUUGAUGUUCUUCACUCUUAUUAUCAAAAAUAUUGUCGUACUCUAGUGGAUGGAUGAUUUCCAUGUAGGGGUCACGGGUGUCAAAUAGUUCCAACUUGAAAAAUCGGCUUUAACUUACUUAGAAACAGCUCAUUGGUGUUGAGGUACCCUCGAUUGUUUAGGCUGGAACUAAGCCGAGUUGCCUUCUCCAUGAUCGAUGGAAGGUUAUUCCCACAAUAGCGAAGAUUUGUGCCUAUGACUCGACAGUGAGUAGGGAUGAACAAGAUUACCGAAAUACCAAAACUGUACCGGUAUUGAAAUUCGGUACCGAUAGGGAUUCGGUAUCGAUAUUGGUAUUUAGUUUUGGUUAUUUUUGAUUUCAGUACCAAUCGGUUCGGUACGGUUUUUUCCGACUAUCAAUACCGAAAAUAUAGUUUUGUUCAAAACAUGUUAUAAUCUUGCUGGUUGUUCUUAUUGGAUGUUAGUUUGCAAUUAAACUUUGAACUCAAAA